AUGGCGCAGCUAUAAUGCAAGUCGAGCGAAUGGAUUAAGAGCUUGCUCUUAUGAAGUUAGCGGCGGACGGGUGAGUAACACGUGGGUAACCUGCCCAUAARACUGGGAUAACUCCGGGAAACCGGGGCUAAUACCGGAUAACAUUUUGAACCGCAUGGUUCGAAAUUGAAAGGCGGCUUCGGCUGUCACUUAUGGAUGGACCCGCGUCGCAUUAGCUAGUUGGUGAGGUAACGGCUCACCAAGGCAACGAUGCGUAGCCGACCUGAGAGGGUGAUCGGCCACACUGGGACUGAGACACGGCCCAGACUCCUACGGGAGGCAGCAGUAGGGAAUCUUCCGCAAUGGACGAAAGUCUGACGGAGCAACGCCGCGUGAGUGAUGAAGGCUUUCGGGUCGUAAAACUCUGUUGUUAGGGAAGAACAAGUGCUAGUUGAAUAAGCUGGCACCUUGACGGUACCUAACCAGAAAGCCACGGCUAACUACGUGCCAGCAGCCGCGGUAAUACGUAGGUGGCAAGCGUUAUCCGGAAUUAUUGGGCGUAAAGCGCGCGCAGGUGGUUUCUUAAGUCUGAUGUGAAAGCCCACGGCUCAACCGUGGAGGGUCAUUGGAAACUGGGAGACUUGAGUGCAGAAGAGGAAAGUGGAAUUCCAUGUGUAKCGGUGAAAUGCGUAGAGAUAUGGAGGAACAC
rnacentral:rRNA from 1 species